CUUACGGGGGGCAGCAGUGGGGAAUUUUGGACAAUGGACGAAAGUCUGAUCCAGCGACGCCGCGUGAAGGACGAAGGUUUUCGGAUCGUAAACUUCUUUUACAGGGGACGAAAGCUCGCAAGAGUUUGACGGUACUCUGUGAAUAAGCCACGGCUAACUACGUGCCAGCAGCCGCGGUAAUACGUAGGUGGCGAGCGUUACUCGGAAUUACUAGGCGUAAAGCGCGUGUAGGCGGGAGGUUAAGUCUGCGGUUAAAUCUCACAGCCCAACUGUGAAAUGCCGGCGGAUACUGGCCUUCUUGAAUUCGGUAGAGGUAACUGGAAUUCCAGGUGUAGCGGUGAAAUGCGUAGAUAUCUGGAAGAACGCCAAAGGCGAAGGCAGGUUACUGGGCCGCAAUUGACGCUGAGACGCGAAAGCUAGGGGAGCAAACA
rnacentral:rRNA from 1 species